rnacentral:rRNA from 1 species
GACGUAGGGCGCGAGCGUUGUCCGGAUUUAUUGGGCGUAAAGAGCUCGUAGGCGGCUUGUUGCGUCAGCUGUGAAAACCCGCAGCUCAACUGUGGGCUUGCAGCUGAUACGGGCAGGCUUGAGUUCGGUAGGGGAGACUGGAAUUCCUGGUGUAGCGGUGAAAUGCGCAGAUAUCAGGAGGAACACCGGUGGCGAAGGCGGCUUGCUGGGCCAGUUCUGACGCUGAGGAGCGAAAGCGUGGGGAGCGAACAGG